GACGUUACCCGCAGAAGAAGCACCGGCUAACUCCGUGCCAGCAGCCGCGGUAAUACGGAGGGUGCAAGCGUUAAUCGGAAUUACUGGGCGUAAAGCGCACGCAGGCGGUUUGUUAAGUCAGAUGUGAAAUCCCCGGGCUCAACCUGGGAACUGCAUCUGAUACUGGCAAGCUUGAGUCUCGUAGAGGGGGGUAGAAUUCCAGGUGUAGCGGUGAAAUGCGUAGAGAUCUGGAGGAAUACCGGUGGCGAAGGCGGCCCCCUGGACGAAGACUGACGCUCAGGUGCGAAAGCGUGGGGAGCAAACA
rnacentral:rRNA from 1 species